rnacentral:rRNA from 1 species
UACGUAGGGUGCGAGCGUUGUCCGGAAUUACUGGGCGUAAAGAGCUCGUAGGUGGUUUGUCGCGUUGUUCGUGAAAACUCACAGCUUAACUGUGGGCGUGCGGGCGAUACGGGCAGACUGGAGUACUGCAGGGGAGACUGGAAUUCCUGGUGUAGCGGUGGAAUGCGCAGAUAUCGGGAGGAACACCGGUGGCGAAGGCGGUUCUCUGGGCCUGACCUGACGCUGAGGAGCGAAAGCGUGGGGAGCGAACAGG